rnacentral:tRNA from 1 species
UGGCUCAGUGGUAGAGCAUGGUGUUUGCAACGCCAGGGUUGUGGGUUCGAUUCCCAC